rnacentral:lncRNA from 1 species
CUUUCCCAGCUGCAGGAGUUGGAGGCUUUAUACCCAACAAGGACUAUGCCCCAAAUGGCAUCCUAAUCCCUUUUUAAUAGGGCUCUGGUUAAAAGUAGUGCAUUAUAUUAGGAAUAGGGAGCCAUUUUGGACACAGCCAUGAUCAGAUAAAGGUUCUGCUGCCACUGAUCCUCUUCAGCAGUAGCCAUUCUGAUAAGGAGAUCAUCGUAAUGACACAACCUCCGGAGUCCAUUUGUCGCUCACUCCGAAGUUUCGGAACAGCAGGAAGUGGCAAGUAGGAAAUGGGGUGUCCGUUUUUUAUACUGUUGUGCCAGGAUGUCCCCUAUAGGCUACAGACAGUAAGAAAUCUGAAAACAACACGAUAGUGCUGGAAGCAGUGUCAGCUCUCUCUAAACCAAACUAUCCAAACACAACCAGAAACCGUCUGCAUCCCAAAGCUGCUUUGCUCAGUAAAUAAAUCCCAAAUCUCUAUUCAUUCAAUGUGCCAACGAUGAUCUCAGACUGGCUGUGCAUCAGGAGAGAGAACAUCCUGGGUGGCAGACAGACCGAGGGAAACAGGAAAGUAGACAAAGAAGAAAGGACAGACGUGAACCAUCGUAUCAGGAAUUUUACACUGCAACAUUAACACGAGCUGACACAGAGGAUUACACGCAGACAGCUGGAAUGCCCGGGCCUUUUUGUCUAGCGUGGAUCUCAGCCAAAAGCCUUCGGUCGGAGGCCAAGAGAGACCUGGGAAAAAGACUUCUCCUUGGAAAUAAACACAAGAGUGGCCAAGAGGAAGGAAUGUGCCACUGGUGGACAAAUGGAGCCGGGAGGGACUGUGCAAUGACCGGACAGCAUCAGGGCACCAUGCCGGACAGAAGGCUGCUCGGCAGGCUGGGCUGGGCUGGGACACUGUGUCUGAGACCUCCGACCUCCAACCAGUGGACCAACAACCACUCACACUAUGAGAAUGCUUUGUCUAUCUGUCUGUGCAAAGUCAUUACGAUCAUUUCACUCACAUAUUGAUCUCCUCAAUUCCUACAGUAUUCAGUGAAAACAAGAAUGGACUACUGUAAGAGAC